CUUGACCGACCCCAGCCACAGCGGCCGGCCGUCGCGUUGCUGCCCGUAGGUGGCGAGCAACGCCUGGGCCUC
rnacentral:antisense_RNA from 1 species